rnacentral:rRNA from 1 species
UACGUAGGGGGCAAGCGUUGUCCGGAAUCAUUGGGCGUAAAGCGCGUGUAGGCGGCUGAGUAAGUCUGCUCUGAAAGCCCGGGGCUCAACCCCGGGAGGCGGGUGGAUACUGCUCAGCUCGAGUCCGGAAGAGGAGUGUGGAAUUCCUGGUGUAGCGGUGAAAUGCGCAGAUAUCAGGAGGAACACCAAUGGCGAAGGCAGCACUCUGGGACAGUACUGACGCUGAGACGCGAAAGCGUGGGGAGCAAACAGG